AAUACAUCAUCGGUCUCUCUCACUCCACCGCCACGCCGUUCGCGCGAUGCCAUUUCCCUUCCGGAGAUCCCAAGAAACGAAACGAAACGAAACAAAUACACAGACACACGAGCCGGCUCCCCUCACCCCCGAGCAUUCGCCAGUGAGAGAGAGAGGGAGAGCAUGGCGUCCAACACCGCACCUGCGCCCGCCGCUGACGAUGAGCUGCUGCACGAGUUCGGCCCGCUGCUCCGAGUCUACAAGAGCGGCCGCCUCGAGCGCCCCCUCGUGCUCCCGCCCGUCGCGCCGGGGCUCGACCCCUCCACCGGUGUCCAGUCCAAGGACGUCGACCUCGGCGCCUACUCCGCCCGCCUCUACCUGCCCCCCACCGCCGCGACCACCACCGCGAAGCUCCCCGUCAUCGUCUACGUCCACGGCGGCGGCUUCGUGGCCGAGUCCGCAAAGUCCCCCAACUACCACCGCUUCCUCAACGACCUCGCCUCCGCCUGCCCGGCCCUCGGCGUCUCCCUCGACUACCGCCUCGCGCCGGAGCACCCGCUCCCGGCGGCGUACGACGACUGCCUCGACGCGCUCCGCUGGGUGCUCUCCGCGGCGGACCCCUGGGUGGCCGCGCACGGCUCAGGGUGGACACGGUCCGGGCCGGUCCGGUCCCUGAUCGAGCCACCAUUUGGACCGGCCGCCGGCGGUCCGGACCGGACCGGACCGACCAGCCUAGCGGGCCUGUUUUCAAGGACCGGACCGGCGGCGGCAAAGCCCGGGCCGGACCGAGCGGACCGGCCAGCCACUUCCGGCGAUGACUUGGACGGGUGCAACGGCAAGGUGGGCGACGUACGCAGGUACUGCGGCGAGGUGGGCGAGCGCCGGCGGCGAGGUGGGCGACGUGCUAUGCGAACUGCACUGGGCGGCGCGGCUGUUAGCCAUUAUUUUCUCUGUGCCUUGAUGCUUCUUCCUUAGCAGUUUAUGUAUUGCAUGCAAGUAAUGGAGCGCCUGCAUGAGCCCACGAUUUUCUCUGCGAGGGAGAUGCCGUUAUUAGCGGAUCAAAUUGGACGUGGUGUUGAUCGUCAAAUUGCGCCGUGAUUUUCGGAUCAAAUCCUUUUUCUCUCGUACAUUCUAUUUGGAAACGGCAGCGUGGGAUUGAUGGCGCGUGAUUAUAGCAAGAGGUCGGUAUUAGUUUUUCAUGCAAUCCCAUAACAUUCGCCUUCCAAAACAAGUACUCUCCUAAUUUGUUGGACGUGAAAAUCAUGACCGAGUAUUGCUCCCAUGAUACGAAAAUCAUGACAGACCGUUUCUCCCACGAUCCGACUUGACUGCGUGCGUGAUGCGCGGAAACGGCUGCCAUGGCACUUCGUCUGCACCACGAAAAGCGCUGCCAUGGCAACAAAUUCCACUACAUGGCAGGAAUUGCUGCUACGGUUGGGUCGACGCCAUGGUUGAGAACACGAGAUCGGCGGCAGAGCACGCACGACAGCGAUGGCGAGCGGCGGCAAGAGGCUACAGCGGAAGGGGAGGAGAGGAAGGAAGGAGAGAGGAAGCUCGGCGACACGGUGGUUCAUCCUGGGGCUGCCGGUGGCCGCGACGACGAGGAACGGUGACGGCGGUGAUCGUGUUUUCUCGGUCCGCUCGGUCGGACCGGUUAAAGACCGGACCGGACCGAGAUUUUUUCGGUCCGAAUUUGGCAGACCGGACCGACCAUUUUCUGUAGCGGGCCGGGACCGAGCGGGCCAAGACCGAACGGGCCACGAGCGGGCCAGAAAGACCGCUCGCUACGUCCAGCCUGACGCACGGCGACCUCGCCCGCGUCUUCGUGGCGGGCGACAGCGCCGGGGCCAACAUCUGCCACCACGUCGCCAUCCAGCCGGGCGCCGCGCGGCUCGGGGGCGCGGUGCUGAUCCACCCCUGGUUCUGGGGCUCCGAGGCCGUGGGGGAGGAGACGACCGACCCCGCGGCGCGCGCCCGGGGCGCGGGGCUCUGGAUGUUCGCGUGCCCGGCCACCACCGGCAUGGACGACCCGCGGAUGAACCCCAUGGCGCCCGGCGCGCCGGGGCUGGGGGCGCUGGCGUGCGAGCGGGUGAUGGUGUGCACGGCGGAGGGCGACUUCCUCAGGUGGCGCGGCCGCGCGUACGCGGAGGCGCUGGCCGCCGCCGGCAAGGGGGUGGAGCUGCUGGAGACGGACGGGGAGGGCCAUGUCUUCUACCUCUUCAAGCCCGACUGCGACAAGGCCAAGGAGAUGCUCGACAGGAUCGUCGCCUUCGUUAACGCAGCACCUUGAUGCUCUCCUCACCGGAGAUGCAACUCGGUGAAUUUUGGUUAUGGCAAAUCCUAGACGUGUUUGUGCUCCGUUCUUGGAUUGCGACGAUGAAAUAAAUUGGAUUUACCGGAGCAGCUCCAAUCAUCCUCCUGUUUCCUCACCUACCUGGCUACAUCUCAAUUUUAGGGGUCUUUGCUUUACCAAUUAUCACCUGAUCAUAAUGACGUUUCAAAUAUUUUAAUAUGAACUACUUACAGACUGAAACAAGCGAACAAACACACUAAAACACAUCCAUAUAUAUAUGCUUAAAAUAAUUAUAAUUCGGAAACGAAGAGGGUAUAUAUUUUAUUGUAUUUUCUUUUGGCGAUUCGAUUGUUAGUGUUUGCUGAGUGAUGUGCAAUGGAUUGCUUGCCUUGUGGGCUCCAAUUAGAUACAAUUGAUUUCUAGGAGCCCAUACAGUUAUGUUUUGCUUAC
rnacentral:rRNA from 1 species